GACAAAGGGCUCUAUACAUGCAGUCGAACGAACUUUCUUACACCGAAUGCUUGCAUUCACCGUAAGAAGUUGAGUGGCGGACGGGUGAGUAACACGUGGGUAACCUGCCUAAAAGAAGGGGAUAACACUUGGAAACAGGUGCUAAUACCGUAUAUCUCUAAGGAUCGCAUGAUCCUUAGAUGAAAGAUGGUUCUGCUAUCGCUUUUAGAUGGACCCGCGGCGUAUUAACUAGUUGGUGGGGUAACGGCCUACCAAGGUGAUGAUACGUAGCCGAACUGAGAGGUUGAUCGGCCACAUUGGGACUGAGACACGGCCCAAACUCCUACGGGAGGCAGCAGUAGGGAAUCUUCCACAAUGGACGCAAGUCUGAUGGAGCAACGCCGCGUGAGUGAAGAAGGUCUUCGGAUCGUAAAACUCUGUUGUUAGAGAAGAACACGAGUGAGAGUAACUGUUCAUUCGAUGACGGUAUCUAACCAGCAAGUCACGGCUAACUACGUGCCAGCAGCCGCGGUAAUACGUAGGUGGCAAGCGUUGUCCGGAUUUAUUGGGCGUAAAGGGAACGCAGGCGGUCUUUUAAGUCUGAUGUGAAAGCCUUCGGCUUAACCGGAGUAGUGCAUUGGAAACUGGAAGACUUGAGUGCAGAAGAGGAGAGUGGAACUCCAUGUGUAGCGGGUGAAAUGCGUAGAUAUAUGGAAGAACACCAGUGGCGAAAGCGGCUCUCUGGGUCUGUAACUGACGCUGAGGUUCGAAAGCGUGGGUGGCAAACAGGAUUAGAUACCCUGGUAGUCCACGCCGUAACGAUGAAUGCUAGGUGUUGGAGGGUUUCCGCCCUUCAGUGCCGCAGCUAACGCAUAAGCAAUCCGCCUGGGGAGUACGACCGCAAGGUUGAACUCAAGGUAUUGACUGGGCCCGGCGAAGCGUGAAGCUUGUGUUUUG
rnacentral:rRNA from 2 species